GUAUAUAAAACGGAGAACUAUGUCCACGUCAUGUACAUAUUCUUGUUCGUUCUCGUUCACAUCACACCUAUACAGGACAUAAAUCAUUUCUUUUUUUUUCAUUUUUUUAAAGUAAAGGGAAAAAGUGGGUAUAUUAUGCAGAAAUGGACACUGGAAGUUCCUGAUGCUCCAAAGUAAGGCCUAAGAAUAUGAUUGCAUUUUAUAACUGUAAUGCAAAUGAGCUUAUGCUGUGUGCUGAAGAAAAGAGAAGAAAUUUGGGAACAAUUAAAAAAAGCACGAUUUUUAUAAAGAGAGCUAACCAUCGACAGUAUGGUACAAUUUCACUGUCAUGGAGUUGCUCUCUUUGUGGAUGUCGCUUAAAUCAUCAACUUUUAUUGAAGACGCGGCAAUAGUGUAUAAUAAUAAUUAUAAGUUUAUUUAUUAUUUCGCGGGUGAUUAUGUGAGAAAUGUUAUCGACCGAAAAAAUCGAAUUUUUUUAAAUCAUGGUUUCUUAUAGUUUAAGAAUUAAAAAAUGCAAUGCGACAAUUUUUAAACAAAAUUUUUUUUUGGUCGAUAUCACCCUUUUCUCAGACACGAUCACAUUAUAUCAUCAAAUUAUUAUGGUUAUGCAUUUUUAAAAUAAAGUAAUUUAUUAUCUUCGUA